rnacentral:rRNA from 1 species
CCUACGGGUGGCAGCAGUGAGGAAUAUUGGUCAAUGGACGAGAGUCUGAACCAGCCAAGUAGCGUGAAGGAUGACUGCCUUAUGGGUUGUAAACUUCUUUUAUAUGGGAAUAAAAUGUUCCACGUGUGGGAUUUUGUAUGUACCAUAUGAAUAAGGAUCGGCUAACUCCGUGCCAGCAGCCGCGGUAAUACGGAGGAUCCGAGCGUUAUCCGGAUUUAUUGGGUUUAAAGGGAGCGUAGGUGGAUUGUUAAGUCAGUUGUGAAAGUUUGCGGCGCAACCGUAAAAUUGCAGUUGAAACUGGCAGUCUUGAGUACAGUAGAGGUGGGCGGAAUUCGUGGUGUAGCGGUGAAAUGCUUAGAUAUCACGAAGAACUCCGAUUGCGAAGGCAGUUCACUGGACUGCAACUGACACUGAGGCUCGAAAGUGUGGGUAUCAAACAGGAUUAGAUACCCGAGUAGUC